GGUAUCUUUCUCUUUCUUCUUUUUUUUUUUUUUUUUUUUCUUUCUUUUAAAUCUGGGGACAGACAAAUGGUUUGCUCAAAGAUUUGCAUCUUGUCAGAUCUUUUUUAAGUUGACAUGUGAAUCAAGCUGUGCAUUACAGAACAGAACUUCACAGUCUUCAGAGUGCAAUCUGGGUAGUGUUGGAGUAAAGCUUUUAAGUGGUACCCAGCGACCAUUCUUACCUGCAUCUCACUAUGGAGAAAGAUGCUUUCAGAAAGUUUCUUAGUAAUAAGCUUUGUUUUUAUUGGAUUGCUUACAGACGAAUACCCUGUUCCUCCAAGCCACUGUGAUGGGCUGUGUCUUGUUACUAUUACUUCUGUCUUCAGUGUCUGCAACUGCAAAGGGUAAUUUGUAUGUACUAUGAACUCCCAGACAAGAACUUGGCCUUCAUCAAACAGCAUAUGGAUGGUUCAGGAGUUUAUGUACAGAAGGAGACUGUUCUGUGGCAGACUAUUGCAGCACACAUCAAACCAGUACUGAUGAUGGGCAAAAUGGAUCGUGCAUUGCCAGAAUUGCAGCUGGAGCCUGAGGAACUUUACCAGCCAUUUCAGUGUAUUGUGGAAAAUGUCGCUGUCAUCAUUUGCACCUACAGAGAGGGUGAAACAGGACCAAUGGGUAAUAUUAUGGUAAAGAAAACUUUAAAACUUCGCUGUGGCUGAAAUCCUAUUUUGGAGAAUACCAGCCUUGAUAUGAAACAAUUGCAUACAAUUAUGGCAGUUCAGAUCUCUGGCCAACCUGAAGGAACCAUUCUCCAGUCCCUUUCCACCCCCACUGCUUCAUACUUUUUCUUCUGGGGACAUUAUUUCAGACCAACCAACUGGGGGAACAAAAGCAACUAGGAGAGAGGAGAGAAUUAACAAAGCAGAUCAUCCUGUAGUGAUGCUUUCUCACUAAGAAAAUGUGUAACCUCAAGCCAGUUGCUCAGUGUCAUUCAGACAUCAAAUGUCAGACAUUUGCCUGGGGCAAACUGCUGAAGUGAAACUAUGGUUUGAAAUUUAAGGCAAAGGACCAGAAACCAGAAGAUUAUUUUUCUGUGCCUGACUUUGCUGCUUAUGUCACUUACAUGACAAGAAACAUGGCCUUACUGCUAUUCCUGACUCAUAAGACAUUUCAUUUAUUCUUUUCUGAUCUGAAGAUGUAGGUCUCUUAUUCUACCAGAAAUUACAUCAUAAUAUGCUGGAUAUCUCUGGAAGGAAGGUUUGAAACUAGAAAGACAAAUCAUAUUUCCUGUAUUGGAGCUGAGAAUUUUGAAAUAAGAAAACAAAGUCAACUGCGAAUCUUCUCUAGAGGUCCAG